rnacentral:lncRNA from 1 species
UCCUCUCUUGUAUUUUUCACUUUUGAGCAUAAUGAGAAUUAGAUUUUUGAAAUCAGAACUAAUUCUCUCUUGAAAGUCAGGCUAGAGAGUCCAAGGACUUCCUCUAGCCACCUUUCAAUCGCACUACCUUCAUUUUUCAUUCUUCCAUUUUUAUCCAUGGUGCUUCUUUCUCCUCCUCCAUGCUAAGCCACGCAUCUUUAGCCACGUCUUCCUCCUAUGCGCGCACAUCAACGCCUCAGUGGCCACAUCUUCAAUGGCACACGUUCACAUAUCCUCAGCCACGCCACAUCUUCAUUUGGCGUUU